CCUACGGGAGGCAGCAGUGAGGAAUAUUGGUCAAUGGGCGGAAGCCUGAACCAGCCAAGUCGCGUGCGGGAAGAAGGUACUGUGUGUUGUAAACCUCUUUUGCCAGGGGACAAACGCGGCCACGGGUGGCCGUCUGAGGGUACCUGGCGAAUAAGCAUCGGCUAACUCCGUGCCAGCAGCCGCGGUAAUACGGAGGAUUCGAGCGUUAUCCGGAUUUAUUGGGUUUAAAGGGUGCGCAGGCGGCGGGUCAAGUCAGCGGUAAAAUGUCGGGGCUCAACCCCGGCCGGCCGUUGAUACUGGCGGGCUAGAGUGGGAGAGAAGUAGGCGGAAUUCGUGGUGUAGCGGUGAAAUGCUUAGAGAUCACGAAGAACCCCGAUUGCGAAGGCAGCAUACCGGGUCAACACUGACGCUGAGGCACGAAAGCGUGGGUAUCGAACAGGAUUAGAUACCCCAGUAGUC
rnacentral:rRNA from 1 species